AAUUUCGCAAUGACGAGGAAGAGUAGCAAGAAGGGGAAUCCACAGAGAGCCAUCGGUGGUGAGAGAUGGCGAGGAAGCUUUUGUGAAAAUCACCUCUGAGCUUUCGGACUGAAAAAUAGUACCUAUCUGCUGAUGAGCAUAGAAGCGCAGUAUCUAUUCGAGUAAGUUCGGACGGUUAACAGUCGUUAUCCUGUUUCUCAUUUUAUAGGAUGAGUAGUGAGUGGCUGCAUGGCAGCAAUAAGAGUGGUACCGCAGAGGAUUUUGCCUUUGUCUCUUAA
rnacentral:ncRNA from 1 species